rnacentral:tRNA from 1 species
CCGAGUGUAGCUCAGUUGGUAGAGCGAUUGACUGUAGUGUUCUAUACUGUGUUUCAGUAUUCUCGGAAAUCAAUUGGUCGCUGGUUCGAUUCCGGCCACUCAGA